GUGGGGAAUUUUGGACAAUGGGGGCAACCCUGAUCCAGCCAUCCCGCGUGUGCGAUGAAGGCCUUCGGGUUGUAAAGCACUUUUGGCAGGGAAGAAAAGUUUCGGGCUAAUACCCUGGAGCGAUGACGGUACCUGCAGAAUAAGCACCGGCUAACUACGUGCCAGCAGCCGCGGUAAUACGUAGGGUGCAAGCGUUAAUCGGAAUUACUGGGCGUAAAGCGUGCGCAGGCGGUUCGGAAAGAAAGAUGUGAAAUCCCAGGGCUUAACCUUGGAACUGCAUUUUUAACUGUCGAACUCGAGUAUGUCAGAGGGGGGUAGAAUUCCACGUGUAGCAGUGAAAUGCGUAGAGAUGUGGAGGAAUACCGAUGGCGAAGGCAGCCCCCUGGGAUAAUACUGACGCUCAUGCACGAAAGCGUGGGGAGCAAACAGGAUUAGAUACCCGAGUAGUCC
rnacentral:rRNA from 1 species